rnacentral:rRNA from 2 species
CGGCGAUAUGUACACAUCUGAGAGCCAGUUCACCUCUCUAUAUUUAGAGAAAUUACUAUCAAAUCCUAUUUUAUCUGAAGAUUAUCCUUAGCCGCCACUUAUUCGUUAAUUGUAACCAACCUGCGCCCUAAAAUACCACACCAAAUCUGACAUAAUCGUUACCUCAAAAUACUUAUGCCAAAGAUAUUUAGAUGACGGUAUAUGAGUCCAAUAGGGGGGGAUACAACGCGUAAAUACGAUUCCGAAGCAGGUUCCUCUGAGGCGAUUAGAUGCCGCCAAGUCCUCUGGGUUUUAAGAAAAAUACUACUACUACCCCACCUCAGGGUACUCCCAAAUAAUAGGGUAUCU